UCUUCUUGGCCGUCUCUGGAAAUCGAGCCACGGAUUACGUCCUGGAUCUUGAGGAGCUUUUUUCGCCAUGUGUCGACGGCCCAGUUGGAUCAAUUCCUUUCGACGAAGCGUUUUACCUCGGCGAUUUGCAGUCCGAUAUAGAAUCCGACGGCAUUCACGUUUCGGGAAAUGUGACAACCAUUUGGAAUUUUUCGCGUACUGAUCGCCUUGCAGGCAGGAUAAAUGUUUUCCAUUAUAAUCGCGGUACAUGGGAACCAACACUAUUCAACAUAGCUGCGAGGAAUUUGUGCACUGCGAUUUUUGACAAAAAUUCGUACUAUUACAAGUGGUGGUUCCAAAACAUUGUAAACCAGGAGGAGAUAAAAAGGGAUUGCAUCACAACGAAAGAUACCGUUUUAGUGCAUAAUCCAUUUGUCGUGAAGCUUGGUUUAGAACAUAUCGCCGGUCCUCCUCUCCAAGGACGCUAUAAGGCUGUGGGCAUCUAUGAAGUAUUCGACGAAAACAACGUACGGCGACCGAAAUCAUUGUGCUUCGAGGUUAGAGGCCGUGUUGAGAAAAUAAAUACUUGAUGGAUUUCUUGAGGAUUCUA